ensembl:lncRNA
GUUUCUCAGCCUGGCACAGGGAGUACCCAGCUGGGGUGGGCAUGUGGGGCUGCCCACCACCCACAGAGCAAAGUCCCUCUGCAGUUGCUCACAACACACUGCGAGGCAGUGGCAUUUUUCUCCAUUGUGGGUUGGCACCUGAUGGAAUACCUUAAAAUUCAGCAAUUUCCCUUGCUCUCCAGCCCCAUCUUCAUGCAUUCAUGUUUUGUUUGUGCAAAUAAAUGUAUGAAGCUUUGUUCUUGCUAUAUUCCCUUCUCACAGACUAAGACUAUAAAGCAGGAAGAGAGAAGACAGCAUAGUCUGCACAAAGGGAUGAAUGAAAGAGGGAGGGAAAGAGCCCUGUGGCCUGGGCCACUGUCCUUCCUCAACAUUAUGGGGUCAUCAGCAGAACUGGCACUCUCUGAAGUCACCCAGGAUCAAGGGAAUCUGGGGCUGUAGCCAUUAACAUCCUGCGCUGGGUCUGCCUGCGUUUUCAAGAAGUAAUCCAGCUUCUCUCUGCAGUCUGGGCUAAAUCCUUAGCCAAAUCAUUGCUUGGGUGAGAGUUGGCUUAUGAGCCUGUGUCUGCAUUGCUGGAUCCAUACGAAAAUGUGGAGAUCCUGAGGUACCUGAUGGCAAGUCUCAUGGAUCCUGUGAACAUCCAGAACUAGCCUGGCUGGCUGUGGUACAGUCCUUGGGACUUUCCAGGAGACGUGCUUCAGCCCUCUGAUCAUUUUGUGGCCCUCUUCUGGAUCUGCU